CUCGCUCAUGAAAGAGAAGGGGAGUUCAUUCCUCUGAGCUCCGCUCUCCCAGGCAGUGCCAUUAGUUAAUGACCCUGGUGGCCUCUUCCCAGCUGUUAAUUAACAUGCCCUGGUGGUUCCCAGGACACCCCAGCUAUGGUCCUGUGUGUUUCUUUUUGCAGGACGCCCUGGAGAGGACGAUGGGGCGGGCACACAUGGCAAAAGUGAUUGAGUUUCUGAAGCUGCAAGUCCAGGAGGAGACCAGGUGCCGGCUGGCUGCCAUCUCCCGCGGCCUGGAGCUGCUGGCUGGUGAGGGGAAGCUGUCCGGGCGGCAGAAGGAGGAGCUGCUCACGCAGCAGCACAAGGCCUUCUGGCAGGAGGCAGAACGCUUCAGCCGGGAGUUUGUCCAGCGAGGCAAAGACCUGGUCAAGGCAUCUCUGGCUCACCAGGUGGAGGGGACGGCAAAACUCACGCUGGCCCAAGAGGAGGAACGGAGAAGCUUCCUGGCUGAGGCCCAGCCGACUGCUGACCCGGAAAAGUUUCU
rnacentral:sRNA from 1 species